AGGAUCAUUUUUCGAAAUAUUUUAGGGAGGUCAUUUCUAGGGACAAUGGGCAUAAAGCUGUGGUUUGACCCACAAUAUUUCUGAACAUUGGCCGUAAAACACUCCGGGGCGGAGAGGAGGUUAGAGUGACUUGGUUUAGGCGUCCGGGGAUAGCAUCUGCUUUUAGGCCUAGAGAUGGAACUGCCCAUGCAUGUAGAACAUCUUUCUGAAGAGACUAGCAUUCGGAUCAGGCAGUUCUAUAGGUAGGACAACUCGAUUAUCUACUUCUAACAGUCGAAGUUGUCCUGGUAUAAGGUCUUGGGUAGGAACCAUAUAGGAAUCAAAUGUCAAAUUUUCAUAGUCGGGUGUAUUCAUAACUUCAGUAUCAUUGAUGUCCUAUAGCUUUGACUGUAAGAUAGGGGUUAUAAAUUUCGUCCUAUUAUGUAAAGAAUUCGUAGUGAUGGGAGAGAGCAAUUAGAACUAGAAUAACUGCUGGUAUAAUAAGUUCAAAUUGUUUCUACCUUCUUGAGCAUCUAUAGGUGCUUGUGUGAGUUAGUUUAGUAGUUAGCAUUUAGAAUAAUAAUAUAAAGGAACUUAGGGAGCUAAUUUAGGAACACAAGUUAUUAAUGUGUGAUCAUGCAAAAUAUAUGAGUUCCUUCUAUAAAUAGAGGGAUGUGGCAUCUUGGAAAACCUGUCUGUAUAGGGUACGGGCAUUUAAGAUAUACAAGAAUUGGAGCUUGUAAUUUAACUAUGGCAAAGGUUAUGUAAUUAUUUUACUAAUAUCUUGUGAGAAAGUCAUAAAGGUUAUGGGGUGUGUUAUAGUAGUUAACUUUGAAGAUUCUUUUUUAGGACUUGUAGUUUUUUUAGUUUAUUUAGGGGGUAUGUUAGUAGUGUUUGGUUAUACUGCCGCUAUGGCUACAGAAGAAUACCCUGAGACUUGAGUUGGAAAUAUCCUGGCUUUUUGUAUAUUAUUAUUUGUAUUACUUAUAGAGAUUAUAUGAUACUUUAUCUUUGGUAAUACUUAUGUAGAUUCUAAUAUUGAGUUGAUUGAUUUCACAGUAAUAAGUUGUAUUGGUCAAGAUUUUAGUGGUGUCCCUUUAUUAUAUUGAUGUGGGGGAUGAGCUUUAGCUUUGUUAGGAUGAAUUUUAUUUAUUACUAUCUAUGUUGUGUUAGAAGUUGUUCGUGGACAUAGAUGCGAAUAUUAGAGGAAGUGUAAUUGAGAUCAGAAAGGAUAUAAAGUAAACUUUAAUUAGGCCUUUUUGAGUAGAAGUAAGUAGUGAUGAUAUUGAAGAAUGGAUAUUAGUCUGCCCUUUAGGUCCUGUUUUUUCAUAUCAGUUUAUAUCAAUUAGUAUGGUAGCAAUGCGUUGGCCUGAAUAUAGAUUUAUUAGGGGGU
rnacentral:lncRNA from 1 species